GACAGAACCAUGAAGUACUGUUACAGUGGGUAUAGAGAAUAAAGAAUCACCCCCCUUUAAAAUAAACACAUUUUGUUGCUUUGCAGCCUGAAAUG